UACGUAGGGUGCGAGCGUUAAUCGGAAUUACUGGGCGUAAAGCGUGCGCAGGCGGUUCGUUGUGUCGGCGGUGAAAGCCCCGGGCUUAACCUGGGAAUGGCCGUUGAAACUGGCGAACUGGAGUGUGGCAGAGGGGGGUGGAAUUCCGCGUGUAGCAGUGAAAUGCGUAGAGAUGCGGAGGAACACCGAUGGCGAAGGCAACCCCCUGGGCUAACACUGACGCUCAGGCACGAAAGCGUGGGGAGCAAACAGG
rnacentral:rRNA from 1 species